AGCAGUGAGUUGCUGGCUGCCUGGUAUUCUGGAGGCACAGCUCACUGAAGGUCUUCUCUGCCACUGUUGAGGCAUCAAACUACAGCAGGAUCAGUCUGUUCCAUUCCCAGACUUUUGACUGAGACCCUAUAGCCUUGAGAGGAUCAAGAUAUUUUGCCUAACCAAGUCACCAGAUGCAGAACUCAGGUGAAAUCUGAUGGUCUGUGAUUACCACGCCAGGUUACUACCCAGUUCCACCCUGUCCUACCUUAGCCCCCAGCAGCCUGCAAGCACUGACAUACCCUCACAGGGUCCUGUAAGCAUCUCACUGCAAGUGGAAUUGGUAGAAGUUGAUGGCUCGUCACUUAUGACUGCACGUGGGGGAAGUUAGGCACUUCCUGCAGUUUUUUCAGAGCAGCCUGUGAGUACGGCAGGAGCCGGAGCACCCCAUCGUCUCCUCUGCAAAAGAAAGGAAAA